CCGCCCUCCUGCCCCAGCUGUCUGAGGGUGGGGCUCUCCCCUGCUCUGGGAGGGGCUGUGCAAGAGAAGGAGGCGGAAGCGGAGACCUCUCCAGUCCGUCCUGGAGCCAGUAGGGAAGCGGCUGUUGUGGCAAAGCCCAGCGGAAGAAAGGCCAGAGGGACACUCCCGGGCUGCUCCCGGGCUGCUGAGUGCUGUCUCCGUGGCCGACUGACCAUGUCAUCAUUCAGCUGACCUGCCCUGCACCCUCCAGCCCCGGAAACCAUGGGCUCACGGACCCUGGCUCAGCGUGCUGCAGUCCCUUGAAGACACCGGGCUUGCAUUCCAGAGACAAGGAGCCACCGAGGGACAGCAGCCAGGCCCUGAGAUGAACAUCGCAGGAAGACAGCCCAGGUUUAUCUUACGGAGUUUUGGGACCGGGCUCCGGGCUUCCGUGUGUGGCAAACACCCGGAGGAUGUGCUGGAAGCCCGGGGUGCCUGCCCGCCGCUCUCAGGUCCUGCCGGAGAACCGGACAGAGGGCGGCUACGUGGUUUCCAGCGAACAUUCGCCGUCGGUGUUACCGCUAACACCUGCCUCUCCCCGCCAGCGCCACCGCGUUUCCCACUGAGGGGCAGAGGGACGUUUCCUGGCUCCGCUUCCCCCAAGCAUCAGGUGGCUGGAGGUUCCCUAUUUACAUGGUGCUCCUGACCGGCAGGUGUGCUCUGGGAUUGGUGCCCCACAGGUGGCCUUGCAGGUGCCUGGCGUCCCCUCCCCCUGCCCCCACCGCCCCCCUGGGCUCCCCCAAGGGCUUGCUGCCCUCUGCCCGACCUCUGCGGGCCCUCUGCCCGCCCUCUGCCAGCCCCACACGCGCACCUGAUGGGCUCCUGGUCUUCCUUGUCUUCCUUGCUCUGUGCCACCCUGAUGCCACUUUUCUUUGCUCUCGGGCAACCUGAAAGACUAAAGAAGGGACACAGCCUCAGGACGCGUCCGCCCUGGCGUGGGCAGGUCCCUCCCCGCUGUCGCUGCUCAGAUUCUGUUUCUCCAGAAGCUGGAGCUGCUCCCCGUGAACACAAAAUUAUUCCGGGAGGAGGGACCUUCCGGGAACGGCCCCGCGUGUGCUCUCCAAGUCUUUAGACCCCGUCAGUCCCCUGGCGAGGGGGAGCACUGGGUGGCUGGGAACACCAGAGAGAGGCUGGGUGGCGGGCCCAGAAAAGGGGUAACGCUGAGGAGAAAACACACGCUCCCUCCGUCUCUUCCUCGGCGACCUGUUGUCUGCAGCCCGCUGCCCGGGCCCUGCCAUCUGGGGACAGUGACACCCGGUGGUCUGAUUCCUCUCAAGUACAGACUUACUGUGAGUCUGCAGAAGGUGCAGAGGAAGUUGAAUAUGAUUAUUUUAUUCAGUCGUCAAAAUUUUGGAAAUAGAAGCUCACGCUUAUCUAAAGGAAGACUUCCGGCUGGAACAGAAAACUACUCAUACAUGUCUGAUCAUGCACGUGGGCCAACAUGUAUGAACUGCACACGUGCUAACUUGCAUGAGCGUGUACACGGGCUAACAAUAGGCUGUGAUAUGAGAUUGUGCACGAGAACGUACAGAAUAAAUGUGAUUCUUGUGCAAAGACUGAAAAACCAGAAACUAGGCCAUUUACGGAGACGCGGGGACGCACGGGUGCAGACUCGUCCGGUGCCGACGUGCGGCCGUGGCCCAGGUGUCCCAACCCCUCUGGAACGCGGCCCGUCUGCUACGUCACCGUCUCCUUUAAUAGGGAUGUGGGAAAGACGAGAUGUGCCCGGAUCCUCUACCUCCUGCUGCCUCUGGUCCUCCGUUUCAAGGUAAAAACUUGGAAAGUGGGUGUGCCGCUCCGUGGCUGUCCCCACUGCCGUCCAGCUCUGAUCUCUUGCCAGGAAGAGCGCUCUUUCCGGUCACCGUGAUCCGGAGCCGGAGGGCGCCCCUGGCCUCUUGCAGGCGAUGCUCCUCCGAGCCUGUCGGCAGCCUCGGCGUCUGGAGGGCCUGUGUCCCGGGAGGUCGGUGUCGUGUGCUGCCCUCGCUUGAGGCCUGAGCUCACACGUCCCUCGUGCUCCUGAGCCCCCGCCAGGCCCUCUCUCCGCACGUCCUUCCCUUCCGGCAGAGCUCUCCUGAGCCCUCUGCCAUCCACGACAAAACUCAAGCCGUGCGUCCUACGACUCCUGGUCACGUCUCUUUGGGCGACGCCCUUCAUUCCCGCUAAAGGUUAAACUCCUCGCCCUCAGUUCCCUCCACGUCUCCUCUCCGUGGAUGGCAUCGGCGUCUGCUCCCCGGCCCGAGACGGAACUGAGCUCAUCCUUGGCCUGACUUGCCCGGGGUCCUGCUGGUUUUACGUCCCCCGUAUCUUCGGAACCAUCCCCCUUCUGCCUCCGCGACGCCGUGUCGGGACGGGCUGGCGUCAGCUCCGAGCUGUGUUAAGCCGCUCCGUUUAGGACCUUCCGGUGGCCCACCACCAAACGCCUCGCCGUGGGCACCGUGGGCCGGCCCCGCCCCCAGUGUCUGCCGGCUCUCCCGCCUGGCGCACGCCCGCGCCCUCGCACGCUCUUCCGGCGCCACUGUCCCCGCUGUCUGCUGGCGGGCACAUCCCUCGAGGUGUGUUCCUGGGUGUCGGCGCCCUUCUGACAACCGACCGUGGGAGCCCGCGGGGCCCCGUCCCCUGCGGGUUUCACUCGUGCUGUGCUGGAAGCCGUCCGCCCACCCACCACAGGCUGCUGAGCCGCGAGUUCCGGGGGCGCGAGAGCCAUGUGCUCGGUCGCCCGCGUCCAGUCCCACACCGUGUGUCCAGACGGGGGUCUGCGUGCGCCCGCGGCCCUUCCUGGCUUGGAUCCGGGGCCCUGCGGCCCGCGUUGCUUCCGCCCGCCGGCGGCCAUCCCCUCCUGGAUGUUCCCGUUACUUCCGAACGCGGCUUUCGGGUCCUCCCUGCGCGGUUUCCUCACGUGCAGUCAGGACACAAAUACUAGUCCCGUAGGACAGCGAGACCACACAGGCAACGUGUACAGCCAUGCUCGUGGUACAUAGUACGUGCUCAACACAUGCUACCUUUGCCAUCAGAGAACAUUCUGGAACCCUAAGCGAGCAGCUGCUCUCUGAGCCUGGGAGGCUGUCCUGGGGAGCCAGAGUCACGUGGUGGCUUGUGAUAGCUCGAGGCUUUGGCACUCUUGCUGCAUGUGAGCCAUGGCAGGUCACAGGGAUCAGGAGCUCCUCGGGACCACGCUGGGUGGGGGUGGGGGGGCCACUGCGCUGGCAGGAAACAGCCGGCCUGGGAAGGGCCAGCUCGAGCAAUGGAUCCUUGUUGUCCUUGUGGACAGGGCCGUGGUCUCUGUGGACCCCUCCAGCCUCACCUGGCAGACGCGGUCCCUCUUGUCACUGAGGACCGAGGGAGGCAGCACAUGUGACGGUGGGCUGGGUUGUUUUUUUUAUUUUUUUAAGUUUAUUUAUUUUGAGAGAGAGGGAGAGACAGAGAAUACCAAGCAGGGGCUCGAACUCGAACUCAAAAACCGUGAGAGCAGAACCUGAGCUGAAAUCAAGAGUCAGACGCUUAACUCACCGAGCCUUCCAGGCGUCCGGUUUGUUUGUUUUGUUGUUGACGGAACCCUAGAGACCGCCAGCAAAUAUGAAUUGUACUGAAUUCAGGGAAGCGUCAGAGCUGGUGCAGAGAUGAGAAAAUCGCACCAUGAAAACGGAAAUGGAGUGUGCACAGGCCAGAACCUCUCCCACCCAGAGCCGGGACUGGGCGACCUUCUGGGCGGGGAGGUGGCCAACUCUGAACCUGUUUCCUCUGUUCGAGAGGACACGACCUCACCUAACACCGGCGUGGCCCUGAGAGCCGUGGAGGACAGCGCACUGUCCCCGGCUCCCGGCUGACAGGGGCACCUGGCCUCUGUGCCCCAGUCAGGAGGGCGGCUGGCCCACAGCGACGCCCCAGGCAGGGCCUGACCACGUGCUUUCCCUGGAGAGGGAGGGGGGCUUGGUGUCCACGGCCCCCGUUCUGGGCCCCUGCUUCCUGGGAGACCCGGGACGGCAGGAGGGCUGCGUGGGCUCACGGCUGCCUGAGUUGUGGCACCGUUUUAAAGACGUUUUCUCUGUUGUUUGCUCAUCGGGAACAUUCCUCGCGUCCCUGGGAAGCGACAGUGGACGGUUAACCCUGAAAGCAGGUUCUCUCCUUGUGUUUGGGCCUCGUGAGCGGCAGGCCUGGGGGCUCCGCGCCAGCCUCUCCUUCCUCAGUGGCCGCCCGAGGGAGCUGCCAGCCGUGUCUGUGCUUCCCCGGGUGGUGGCCUCACCCAGUGGGACAGACGGCAUGGCCCUGUGCGCCACUUGGACUUUCGGGGCGCUCCUGCGGGGGCGCUGGCUGUGCUCAGCUCUGCCGGGAACCGGGUCAGAUUCACGUGCCCGGGCUUGGCUUUUCAGGAAACCUGGGCUUUGUGACAUUUUAUUCAUAGGUUUGUGCUCUAUCAAUACCCGCCUCUCUAACCUAGAAGCUCAGGGAAUAAAAAUGGGGAAACUGAAUUAACACAUUACGUGUCACCAAGCCCAAAGAGAAAUCAGUAGCGGAACAUGCAUUUGGACGUGGAGUGACCACCAAAUGUCCACUUUUAGCUGUGCAGACACCGUGCUGGGAGUCAUGGUCACGUGAGGACGCAGACGUUUCUUUUCAAGAUAAAUUAAAAUAAAGGGUAGCGUAGAAUGUGCUUGGCGUUUCCCACUUAACUGGAGGGUUCACUUUCACUGAAUUCACUCUGGACCAGUGACUUCACACUGGCGGUGUGUUUGCGGGUGUUUUUUCCUGCUCUGCACUCCCCUGACCGCGGUGCGCUCCGAGCUGUCCCCCAGUCUGCUCCCCCUCCCUGUGGCCCUCGGGGUGGCUCCGGGAAACAUUCGGUGACGUCCAGAGACUUUCCGCAGCCAUCACGAGCCACGGCGGCGGUGGUGCUGGUGUCUGGUGGGCAGACGUCCCACCGUGUGCUGGGCAGGGCGCCGUCCGGCCCCCAGUGUCCGCAGGGCCCAGGUGGGUGCCCCUGGCAUAGAGGACGCAUGUGAGGAAUCCUCCCGUGACCCCACCGUUCAGUUCUCCAUUCCUAAGCUGCGCUUUUCACAGAUCCGAGCGGCUGAGGAGUGCUCCGGAGUGAGCCCGGGGAGCACGGGGCACGCGGUGGGGUCCCGAUGAGGAGGCUGCCUCUGCCCUCCUCCAAACCGGGCCGGCAGCCGCUCAGCGUCCCCUGCUCUGACCACUGGCAUCUGACCACUCGGGCGGCCACGGGCAGCACACGAUCCACCGGCAAGCACCCUCCCUGUGCUGGGUGGCCGGCAGCUAACUCUCAUUGUCAGGGGCCUCUGCACCCCCGUCCCCCUGUCCCCCUCUCUGCCCCUCUCUCCUCUCUCCCCCUGUCUCCCCCCUCCCCCUCCCCCUCCCUUUCCCUCUCUCCCCCUCCUCUCCGUCCUGUCUUCUUUGUUUCCUCGUGGGAGGUGCAUCCGAAGCCCGGAUGCUCAUCCACUUGGGGACCGCCCACUUUAUGCUGGGAAAUGCAGACAGUGACCCAGCAGCAGUGUCAGUCUCUGUAUUUGCAGCACCACCUCCCACUGUUGGAUGGGUCUUAGCUCCUGAAUUCCUUGUCCCGACCUUGGCCUUGCCUGUUCUUGCUCACUGAACAGGACAAGAAAUUGGUGCGGUGACCCACCCCAGGUCUAGAUCCACUUUUGUGGACCCAAGGUCUCCAGAGUUUCUUUCAGGUCACUUCCAACGCCUGGCCCGGCACCCAGGAGGGAGACUUCAGGCUGCCCUUUGGACAAUCCCUUCCCCUUGGGAGCAGCAGGGCCUGUGACGAGUCGUGUCUUCAGCUCUGCUACUGGGGCUCAGAUUUUCAUAUUUAGGAGGCCGGCUCCCAGCGGUGUUGGAACGCCUGCCUCUCAGUGGCCGUCCCAGGGACCUUAUUCUCUGCCAGCGAUGGUCCUUUUCCCCGUCCUCUUCUGCUUUAGAACGGCUGCUGCUGGAUGACCCGAGGAGUCUCUCACAGGCGGACGCAGAGAGAGACGAGCGGAACAGGAAGCCCCGCGGUGGGGAGCGGGCACCUGUGCCCACCUAGCGCACCACCAGAUACCAACCUUGGCCACCUUCUUCCUUCCAAGCACAAGGACGCUUUCCGGAGCAUCAGGCCCUCGGUACCUGCGUCGCUCACGACACCCCCUCGGGCUUGGGCUCGAGGCUGUUGAGUCCAGAGACUCUGACCCCUGCAGACACCCCCCCGCCUGCUUCCCUCCUGCUCACGUGAGCCUCGGGGGGGGAGGGGUCAGUGGGACUCAGCCACAGCAGUCGUCCACGAAGCAAGCUUCGUACACGGCGGACGUGCGCAGGGACUGUUCUUUGUCUACACUUGAAACACCGGCACUAAAUCAGGCUCCCAUUAAAGCUGGGCCACCUGGCUGACCCGAGUCCAGUGAGGGCGGCGCCUGGGCCUGAGCCGUGGGGACUCCAUGAGAGCGUCAGGCCACCUUGAGUUGCCUUAAAGCCCCGUGACCUUAACCGACCCGCACGGAGCCCGGAUCUCUUGGUCCAGCAGUCCCCAUCAGCCCAGACCCUAGAGUCCUUCUGGGACCUGCACCGGCUCUGUGUCCGCCUGCGCUACGGGACACGGCGUUCUUUAAGAACGGUUUCGUCAUCACUGCCCUUCCUAUGACGUCCUAAGUGCACUGUCUCAAGGAAAGUCAGGUGCACUGCAGACACCUUGCCCCUCAAGCUAUUCUGGUUGCCAUGUGGCCACCGGGACUGUAAAAAACAAGGACAAAAAUUAAGAAAAAAUUCUUCUUUCUUUCCAGAUAGCUUGUAACUCUCAAAAACAACAAGGAUGAAGGGACUUAGUAAGAACAUCACGCCUGGGUCAGCCCUGUGCCCCACCCCCACUCCGUGAACACCCGAGUGCCUGGUAAGGACAAAAAUCACAAACUUCAAGUAUUUAACCAGUGUCUGCUGCUUCUGAGGGGUUUCAUGUGGCUUUCCGCUCAGAGUCACCGGGGACACCGGAUGCUGAGACGGGGCCAGCAAAUGACUUGUCUGGAGCAGGACGUGGUGGCCCCGCUGCCCCCCCAGCACCGCCGGAUGCUGGGCGGAGACGGCGGUGGGUGUCACAAGCCAACACUCGGUGUCUGUCUACAUCUCCUUCAGUCCUAAGAGAGGGGUCCGUCCUGGCUCUCACGGUGCGCUAACGGCUAUUUGCCGUGUCAUAUUACAGGUUAAAGUUCCGUUUACGGCCCCUGCUGUGAGAGCUUAAAGAGGCAAACGGAUCACGUUCGCCACGUCGCUGGUGUGGACACUCGGAACCAGGAGUUUUAAAAUAUGCGCUUGUGGUGGAACAAUGAAGUGUGUGCAGAAUCUGUGUGUCGAGAACCACCACCGAAAUCUGACUGUUGACCUGAGUUUUGUUAGAGCGACAGCUGUUUGUGUGCAAUUAAAGUCUGAUCGCAAGACUAUUCUGCCAAUGGAUCUAAGACGGCAAAGAGACCUGCGAGCCCGAACCUCCCAGAAUGCCCUGUGCUCAAGGCUGCACUGAGCUAUGUACACCAAAACAAACAUUCUGUUCGGAUCUACACAGGAACUAUCACUGAUCACAGCCACAUGGGGGUCAUAGGAUGUAUGCCCUAAUGUCAAAGCACAACUUAAUGUCUCUCCAUUAAAACACAUAAUCCUGGACACCAUAAGACUUUGCACUGGCACACGUCCCAGGAAUGUCACAGCCUCGUGUCUGCCCUGAUCUGUCCCUCCGCGAGACAUACACCUGUUACAGUGUCGUCUUCCCGCCCAUCUAAAACCCCUGUCCUGAGACCGGGUGGGAGCAAUGGAACUCAUCAAACCCACGACUGAAGUGUUAUCGAUUCGUUAUUGGUAAGAACAUCUUUAAAGUGCCUCCUCCAAGGCGCUAUUGUGCCCCUCUCUUUUGAAAAUAAAUAUGAGGAUUUGGUAAAGAGUUCUAUUAAGAAAGACAUCUAAAAUAGGGCGUUUUCUUGCAGUUAAACGGAUGCCUGCAUCAGAAUGCAGGUUACUACACGUUGUGAUCUGAGACUGGUGAACCGCUGUGGCUUCUGCCCCCCUGCCGACACGUCAGUGAGGUGCAGGGCGGAUUCCAUGCACACGAGCAUUUCUUCCUGGGGACCCCAAGGUGCUGCCCAGGCGCCCUUGCCAGGUAGCAGGUGGCUAAGCCCCUGACCCCACAGGGCCAGCCCUUCGCCGUCUACCUGGGGGGUGACGCCGCCCUGAGCGGUAACACACCCUGGGUGCGGCAGCCUCUGUGACCUUGUGCCCAGCGUCCCCCUUCGCUGUGCUGGCAGAAAGACCCAGCUCGUCUCCUGCGAAUCAGCUUACAGCAAAAAAUAUCUGAAGGUGUCUCAGGCUCUCUCCUCCUGGUAAAAGUCCAUCACUUAUUUUUAAAAACCUUCUACAUAGAGGCAGGAAGAACCGUGGGUGUCUCCGGGCUGCACCGGGAGAGUCUGUGGUUGACCCGCCUCCGUGAACUGCCCUGCGAGGCUGAGGACAGUAGCUAGAAAUCCACAGAAACAGACCCUGAGGAUGCAGGGUGAUCAUACAAAAUACAAGGGGUGCACUGGAGUUCUGGGAGGAUUUCGUGGAAAGGCCCUCGGCCACGUUUCUUGCUCAUUUCUUUCGUGGCAACUCUAUCAAGGGAACGUAAUUAAGUAAAAUGCCAAGUAUUAAAAAAUAUGUAAUUUUUUUCUAUUGCCCUCAACUUUAAAAGAACUCAUAAAAAUGUAAGAUUAGGCCUCGUCCAUAAUAGCAAAAUAUGUUUGUAAAUUGGAACGAUUCAGGCCACAUGUACAAAAGUCUUUGCUUUAUUUGUAUAAAAAGUUCAAUUCAGAAACUGCUUUUUAUUUUUUUUUUUGCUUAAAGAGAUAUGGUUCUAAAAAUAUAUUUAUUUUGUUUUUUUUCUGUCACAUAGACGGGAAACAGUAAAGAAAUUCAGAGGAGUGCAAAAUAAAGAUAUUUUCAAUGGAAAAAUGACAUACACUGAUUCUUACACUACAUGUCUGUGAUUUUUCUCCCCAAAUGCAAAGAGAACAGAUCACUUAAAAGCAACAUACAUUACUUC